rnacentral:lncRNA from 1 species
UUCUGUAAUGUGGGUGUGCAGACCCAAGCCUCCUGACUCCAGCCAAUCAGGGAUGCUAAUGACUGAGGCUGUGUAUGGUUUAUUCAGCUAUAUUUAGAAAACCCACUGGACUUACCAGGAAAUCCAGUUGUUUCAGAAGAGAGCUAUCAAGUCAUGGUUCAAAAAAUAGUUUUGAACCACUGGAAAGACCAGUUUAAAUGAAGGAUUACAGAUGGAAGGAGGAACGGAAGAAAGGAAGGAGGAAUGGAAGAAAGAAAGAAACCACCACAAAUAACUACAGCAAAACCAGACCACAGACAAU